rnacentral:rRNA from 1 species
UACGUAGGGAGCAAGCGUUGUCCGGAAUCAUUGGGUGUAAAGCGCGCGUAGGUGGCCUCAUAAGUCCGCUGUGAAAGUCAAAGGCUCAACCUUUGAAAGCCGGUGGAUACUGUGAGGCUAGAGUACGGAAGAGGCGAGUGGAAUUCCUGGUGUAGCGGUGGAAUGCGCAGAUAUCAGGAGGAACACCAAUAGCGAAGGCAGCUCGCUGGGACGUUACUGACACUGAGGCGCGAAAGCGUGGGGAGCGAACAGG